GCGUUCUUAGCUCAGUUGGUUAGAGCAUCACCUUGACAUGGUGGGGGUCGAUGGUUCAAAUCCAUUAGAACGCA
rnacentral:tRNA from 1 species